GCCAGCAUGAUGUAGUGGUUUGAGCAUUGGACUACAACUCUGGAGACCAGGGUUCAAUUCCCAGUUCAGAUA